GAUGAACGCUGGCGGCGUGCUUAACACAUGCAAGUCGAACGGAAAGGCCCAAGCUUGCUUGGGUACUCGAGUGGCGAACGGGUGAGUAACACGUGGGGGAUCUGCCCUGCACUUCGGGAUAAGCCUGGGAAACUGGGUCUAAUACCGGAUAGGACCACUUCUUGCAUGUUGUGGUGGAAAGUUUUUUCGGUGUGGGAUGAGCUCGCGGCGUAUCAGCUUGUUGGUGGGGUAAUGGCCUACCAAGGCGUCGACGGGUAGCCGGCCUGCGAGGGUGUACGGACAGACUGGAACUGUGCUGCGGGCCAGACUCGUACGGGAGGCAGCAGGGGCGAAUAUUGCACAAUGGGAGCAAGCGUGAGGCAGCGAGGCCGCGUGGGGGAUGAAGGCUGUCGGGUUGUAAAAUCCUUUCGGUAGGGAAGAAGCGUUUUUGUGACGGUACCUGGAGAAGAAGCACCGGCUAACUACGUG
rnacentral:rRNA from 1 species